GAGCAAGCCUUCCAGCAUGGCUGGGUCUGUGGUGACCCUGGUCAUUCCUGUAGCGCUUGCGAGAGCAGCCCUGAGAUGGUUUGAGGCCUCGCUCUGCUCCUUUUCAGAGUGAGGUUAUAGAAAUUUCAGACAGGC
ensembl:snoRNA